GACGAACGCUGGCGGCGUGCUUAACACAUGCAAGUCGAACGGUAAGGCCCUUCGGGGUACACGAGUGGCGAACGGGUGAGUAACACGUGGGUGAUCUGCCCUGCACUUCGGGAUAAGCCUGGGAAACUGGGUCUAAUACCGGAUAGGACUCCUGGCUUCAUGGUUGGGGGUGGAAAGCUUUUGCGGUGUGGGAUGGGCCCGCGGCCUAUCAGCUUGUUGGGGGGGUAAUGGCCUAACAAGGCGACGACGGGUAGCCGGCCUGAGAGGGUGACCGGUCACACUGGGGCUGAGAUACGGCCCAGACUCCUACGGGAGGCAGCAGUGGGGAAUAUUGCACAAUGGGCGCAAGCCUGAUGCAGCGACGCCGCGUGAGGGAUGACGGCCUUCGGGUUGUAAACCUCUUUCAGCUAUGACGAAGCGCAAGUGACGGUAGUAGCAGAAGAAGGACCGGCCAACUACGUGCCAGCCGCCGCCGCGG
rnacentral:rRNA from 1 species